GAAACCACUCACACAGGUUGAGAGGUUGCCCUGAGCUGGGGGGGUGCUGCCCCCAGUGUCUGCUCAAGGUGGUUGGGGGAUGGAUUGCUCCCUACUCAGGAAAGAAGGGGGAAUAUGAACAGGAAGUGGGCUGUGCAGGGUGGAGGUGCCCUAUUGUCAGGCUGAAGGCUGGGAGCCGACAUCUAAUCAUCAAAAUGAUGGAACUCUGAGGGCUGAAGGGAAGCAACAGGUUUCCUGGAAGAUACCCCUCUGAUUCCCAAAUAGUCUUCUCCGUACAUCUCAUCUGCCAG
rnacentral:lncRNA from 1 species